rnacentral:rRNA from 1 species
AUAUUGCACAAUGGAGGCAACUCUGAUGCAGCGACGCCGCGUGAGUGAAGAAGGUCUUCGGAUCGUAAAGCUCUGUCCUUGGUGAAGAAAAAAUGACGGUAGCCAAGGAGGAAGCCCCGGCUAACUACGUGCCAGCAGCCGCGGUAAUACGUAGGGGGCGAGCGUUGUCCGGAUUUACUGGGCGUAAAGGGUGAGUAGGCGGUUAUAUAAGUCAGAUGUAAAAGGCGUAGGCUCAACUUACGUAAGCAUUUGAAACUGUAUGACUUGAGGACAGGAGAGGUAAGCGGAAUUCCUAGUGUAGCGGUGAAAUGCGUAGAUAUUAGGAGGAACAUCAGUGGCGAAGGCAGCCCCCUGGGCCGAUACUGACGCUCAUGCACGAAAGCGUGGGUAGCAAACAGG